CUCCUGACCUCCUCCAAAACGAGCACCCAUCUAUUUCAUCCCAGAUUCCCGACAGAUCAUAUUAGGGAGAGUUCAUUGAAAUAAACUUGGCAUUUAAAUUAAGUGUUCCCCAAAGCAUCUUGGCAGAGCUGUAGCUAAUGAUGGCGGAGGUCUGUGCCAGGUUUGGAUUUAUCCUGGACCUCAGUGAUUGUCUCCCACACACAGCCCACUGGUACCCUUGGCUCCUGUGGCCUGGACCUUGGAUCCCUGUGCUUCUCAAGCUCAAGCAUCACAAGUACAGUUCUUGACACAAGAAACAUGUCAGUAUUCUCCUGUCUCGGAGGAAGACAUGAACAUGCUGAUGAAUACACUCUCAUUCAGCCAGUGGGGAACAGCUGGUCACUGCUUCCAGGGAGAAAUGCCAGCCCAAGCUUUGUCUUAUUUUUCCAGAGAAGCCAUAAAUCUGGAAUAUAAAACUUACUGUUUAUUCAGUUGAUUUUAUUACAGAUAUGACAAAAUGAAAAAAGUUUUGGUGUGUUUACUAUUAAUGUUAUUAUUAGUAUUUUUGUGACAGUCUUUUACUUACUGUAAUCCAGACUGAUCUGGAACUCACUAGGUAUCCCAGGCUAGUCUCAAACUCUUGGUAAUCCUCCUGGGUGCUGGGAUUAUAGACACCAUAUCCAUCUUUAUUCUUUCUAAGGUUUAUGGAAAGACCUGUUUUCUCCCAUUAUACUUUCAAUGUCAUGAUAAGCAAUAGCUUAGGAAAAUACUUCUAAACUUGAAUUUCUUUAUAUCAUGUUAACAUGGUUUUUAAGGACACAUUUAUUUUCAUAUAUCCAACGUGCAGUGUGUUGCUCCAACCCAUCCCCUUCAUCUACCAUCUCCCACUUUCAACCUUAGAAAUGUCUCUGAAACCUGAAGCCAGGGACCCAAUGUCUAACCAAAAACUUUGUCAUUUCCUCAGUCCUGUUCUAAUGUGCUUUCUGUUUCUAUAAUAAAGCCACGAACAAAAGUAA